rnacentral:rRNA from 1 species
GGGUGAGUAACACGUGGGUAACCUGCCCUAAAGUCUGGGAUACCACUUGGAAACAGGUGCUAAUACCGGAUAACAACAAUAGCUGCAUGGCUAUUGCUUAAAAGGCGGCGAAAGCUGUCGCUAAAGGAUGGACCCGCGGUGCAUUAGCUAGUUGGUAAGGUAAUGGCUUACCAAGGCGACGAUGCAUAGCCGAGUUGAGAGACUGAUCGGCCACAUUGGGACUGAGACACGGCCCAAACUCCUACGGGAGGCAGCAGUAGGGAAUCUUCCACAAUGGGCGAAAGCCUGAUGGAGCAACGCCGCGUGAGUGAAGAAGGUUUUCGGAUCGUAAAGCUCUGUUGUUGGUGAAGAAGGAUAGAGGUAGUAACUGGCCCCUAUUUGACGGUAAUCAACCAGAAAGUCACGGCUAACUAUGUGCCAGCAGCCGCGGUAAUACGUAGGUGGCAAGCGUUGUCCGGAUUUAUUGGGCGUAAAGCGAGCGCAGGCGGAAAGAUAAGUCUGAUGUGAAAGCCCCCGGCUUAACCGAGGAAUUGCAUCGGAAACUGUGUUUCUUGAGUGCAGAAGAGGAGAGUGGAACUCCAUGUGUAGCGGUGGAAUGCGUAGAUAUAUGGAAGAACACCAGUGGCGAAGGCGGCUCUCUGGUCUGUAACUGACGCUGAGGCUCGAAAGCAUGGGUAGCGAACAGGAUUAGAUACCCUGGUAGUCCAUGCCGUAAACGAU